rnacentral:ncRNA from 2 species
UGAAAAUACAGGGAUGGUGUUCCCUAUAAAUGCUAUUGGUUAAUAGUUGAUGACACCUAUUAGAUA